AGGGGUGUAUUUAUUAGAUCAAAGCCAAUCGGGCCUUCGGGUUCGUUUUGUUGGUGACUCUGAAUAACUUUGCUGAUCGCACGGUCUCGCACCGGCGACGUAUCUUUCAAGUGUCUGCCUUAUCAACUGUCGAUGGUAGGAUAGUGGCCUACCAUGGUGGCAACGGGUAACGGGGAAUUAGGGUUCGAUUCCGGAGAGGGAGCCUGAGAAACGGCUACCACAUCCAAGGAAGGCAGCAGGCGCGCAAAUUACCCAAUCCCGAUCCGGGGAGGUAGUGACAAUAAAUACUGAUAUAGGGCUCUUUUGGGUCUUAUAAUUGGAAUGAGUACAAUCUAAAUCCCUUAACGAGGAACAAUUGGAGGGCAAGUCUGGUGCCAGCAGCCGCGGUAAUUCCAGCUCCAAUAGCGUAUAUUAAAGUUGUUGCAGUUAAAAAGCUCGUAGUUGAACCUUGGGCCCGUCCUGCCGGUCCGCCUCACCGCGAGUACUGGUCCGGAUGGGCCUUUCUUUCUGGGGAAUCCCAUGGCCUUCACUGGCUGUGGCGGGGAACCAGGACUUUUAC
rnacentral:rRNA from 1 species